GACGAACGCUGGCGGCGUGCUUAACACAUGCAAGUCGAACGGAAAGGCCCUGCUUUUGUGGGGUGCUCGAGUGGCGAACGGGUGCGUAACACGUGAGUAACCUGCCCUUGACUUUGGGAUAACUUCAGGAAACUGGGGCUAAUACCGGAUAGGAGCUCCUGCUGCAUGGUGGGGGUUGGAAAGUUUCGGCGGUUGGGGAUGGACUCGCGGCUUAUCAGCUUGUUGGUGGGGUAGUGGCUUACCAAGGCUUUGACGGGUAGCCGGCCUGAGAGGGUGACCGGCCACAUUGGGACUGAGAGACGGCCCAGACUCCUACGGGAGGCAGCAGUGGGGAAUAUUGCACAAUGGGCGGAAGCCUGAUGCAGCAACGCCGCGUGCGGGAUGACGGCCUUCGGGUUGUAAACCGCUUUCGCCUGUGACGAAGCGUGAGUGACGGUAAUGGGUAAAGAAGCACCGGCUAACUACGUG
rnacentral:rRNA from 1 species